ACGGGAGGCAGCAGUGGGGAAUAUUGCACAAUGGGGGAAACCCUGAUGCAGCGACGCCGCGUGAGUGAAGAAGUAUUUCGGUAUGUAAGCUCUAUCAGCAGGGAAGAAAAUGACGGUACCUGACUAAGAAGCUCCGGCUAACUACGUGCCAGCAGCCGCGGUAAUACGUAGGGGGCAAGCGUUAUCCGGAUUUACUGGGUGUAAAGGGAGCGUAGACGGCGAUGCAAGUCUGAUGUGAAAGCCCGGGGCUCAACCCCGGCACUGCAUUGGAAACUGUGUUGCUAGAGUGCAGGAGAGGUAAGUGGAAUUCCUAGUGUAGCGGUGAAAUGCGUAGAUAUUAGGAGGAACACCAGUGGCGAAGGCGGCUUACUGGACUGUAACUGACGUUGAGGCUCGAAAGCGUGGGGAGCAAACAGGAUUAGAUACCCUGGUA
rnacentral:rRNA from 1 species